UCGCGUUCUCUUACCUUCCGCCCGAGCAGGUUCUGCAAAGGAAAUUCUCUCCAGUCAGCGUCGUCUUCGAGAAACUGGUCACCGUCGAGCGGACAGGCGUGUCCGUCGUCGAGUGCGCACUGCUCGUAGCAGCUUUUGCACAGCGCGUGUCGACAGGGCAGAAAAACGGUCACUCUGGGCAGCACACCACACGCGUUGCAUAUUCUGUGCGAAGGAAUAAGGUCGACGAAGUGCAGCGGUCUCCAGUCUAGUUCCUGGGUAAAACCACACAGCGUGUACCGCUGGCCUUCGGACGCCAUGACGAACAGCGCAUACGU
rnacentral:lncRNA from 1 species